rnacentral:RNase_P_RNA from 1 species
UGAGUAGGCCGGGUGACCGCGGUGAACGAGUGCUUGCACUUAUUCAUUGAGGAAAGUCGGGGCUUCACAGGACAGAAUGCUGGCGAGAGCCAGGUUGGGGCGACCUGACGUGUGGUGCAACAGAGAACAAACCGCCGAUGGGCAGUGGCUGCAAAGCCAUCGUCACAGGCAAGGCUGAAACGGUGCGGUAAGAGCGCACCAGCGCAUGAGGCAACUUGUGCGGCUUGGUAUCCCCAUUCGAAGCAAGACCAUGCAGAGAGCAUGAGCUGUCCGCUCGUUGGCUAUUCGUAGCCAGCAACUCUCGGGUAGGUUGCACAGAGGGAUGGUCAUCGGUUGGCGCGAGAAAUUGCGACGACUACAGAACCCCGCUUAUAGGCCAACUCACCGU